ACUAUAGUUCGCAGUGACAACCUUAAUCGAAUAUGUAGGAUAGGUGGGGAGGUGGUGACACACAACGACCAAUCCUGAAAGACCAUUCUUUCGUCUAAGGAUGCCUAAUCGUCGCACCGAUCAUUUGAGGGGAGGCGGGAUACUGCGAGGUGGGUAGUUUAUCUGGGGCAGAUGCCUCCUAACGAGUAACGGAGGUGUGCGAAGGUAGGCUCAAGCUAAGAUGCUACUCAUGAGCUUAAUGGUACAAGUCUGACUGUGAGACUGGUCAAACUGAGACGAAAGUCGGCCAUAGUGAAAGUAUAUUGUCGUUGCUGCGUGUACGUCUUAGU
rnacentral:ncRNA from 1 species